CCCCUACUCUCAAGCUUGAGCUUAAAUAAGAUCGGUUGAAGAAAGUAUCAAUCCGAGGUCGAGGCCACUUUUGUUGAGCUAUUUUCAGUUGACACAUGCUGAAGAUCGACGUCGUGUGGCAAAUCAUCUCCACAUCUGGGUCGUUGGAUCCUUGGAUCCAUGUGAGUUCUAUCUUGACCAAUCGUGGGUUGCAACUUGGCAUAGAUUGAUUGGGGGUGGUGAUUCGUCAGU
rnacentral:lncRNA from 1 species